rnacentral:rRNA from 1 species
GAUGAACGCUGGCGGCGUGCCUAAUACAUGCAAGUCGAGCGAACAGACGAGGUGCUUGCUGCUCUGACGUUAGCGGCGGAAGGGUGAGUAACCCGUGGAUAACCUAUCUAUAAGACUGGGAUAACUUCGGGAAACCGGAGCCAAUACCGGAUCAUAUAUUGAACCCGAUGGUUCAAUAGUGAAAGACGGAUUUGCGGUCACUUAUAGAUGGGUCCACGCCGGAUGAGCUAGUUGGUAAGGUAACGGCUUACCAAGGCAACGAUGCGUAGCCGACCUGAGAGGAUGAUCAGCCACACUGGAACUGAGACACGGUCCAGACUCCUACGGGAGGCAGCAGUAGGGAAUCUUCCGCAAUGGGCGAAAGCCUGACGGAGCAACGCCGCGUGAGUGAAGAAGGUCUUCGGAUCGUAAAACUCUUUUAUUAGGGAAGAACAAAUGUGGAAGUAACUAUGCACGUCUUGACGGUACCUAAUCAGAAAGCCACGGCUAACUACGUG